ensembl:lincRNA
GGAAAAGUUCGGGCCUUCCAGUCAGACAGCUGGGCUAAAGUCUGCAGUAUACUCACCGAGAUACAUACUCACCUCUCUGAAGCUCAGCCUACAAGAAGGAUUCUGCUUGCAGUGUACAGAUGUAUAUAUCCAUGGGAGUGUCACUAUUUCCACUUUUUGCCCCUAAUUUGUUAGAUUUGGGAAGGAAAAAAUUUGGCCUCUAAAUGCUGUUUUUCACUCUCUUCCUAUAGCUUCCUAGAGGUUGGCCUACGUCUCAGCAUGAAAUGGAUGUAGAGGGAGAGGCCGGGGGAAGGAGGACAGCGAACACUGGAAUAUGCUCGACCCUGCGAAAAUACCUUCAGGAGGCGGACUGGAAAGGAAAAGACUUUUGUAGUGCGCAUCUGAAGCACAGCAGAUUUGUGGGCAUUAUUGGCUUUUUCAAACAUCAAAAGCAAACGGUGUGAAAGAUGAUGGAGGUGCUCAAACAGGAAUGGGAAUGAAAAUGAGCAAAUAGAAGAUCAUGCUCAAUAAAAACACAAAAUGAUAAUCAGAAUAAAUGAGACUAUCAGCGCAGAAGUAGAAGAAAAUCAACUAGGAACAUCUGUUCAGGUGAGGUUGAAAUUAAGAGAAUAAUCAGACUCUGGUCGUGUGCAUUUGGAAAAAAGCAUCUAUGAAAGAUAUGAUGAGCAGCAUCUCGUGUUUCACCCAUGUGGAAUGAUCCUAUACUAUCUUUGUACUUUCAUUAAAACUGGGUUUUGUGGCUGUGGAUUUUAUACCUUAUGAGAAACACAGGUUUGCAGCAAAAAUGCAAUCGGAUGUGCAUUGCAGAUUUAGAAAAAUUUUAGUGGUGAUAUGAAAAUUUCUCAGAGAAAUAUGUAGAAAUAUAGCCGAUGUGAAAAACCUUUCCAGGUGAGCCUGCAAGUGGAUGACGACAUAGUAACAUGAAGCCACAAAAACCUUGGGAGAAAUAAUAUACAUGUAACAUAGAGAGCGUUCAGGUAAAACACAUUCACUUUGGGCUCUAGAAAAGAUAGGGUACACGCACCUUUCCCUAUUCUUCCUGCAAAAUGCUCUUUAAAACUUUGAACAUUACAUGUGAACUAAACUUAAGAUAGUUGAAAGAUGGAGAGAAGUAGCAGGUGAGUAAGAGACCACCUUGGGGCCCGAGGCACAACGUGUCAGCGAGUUUCCUUAGCUUUUACUUUUGCCACAAAAAUCCCAGCAACCGGGAAAAGCUAGAGUUGCCGACAGUGCCAUCAAAAGUCUGGUCUCUUUAGUCAAAGGACCAGGAAACGGGCAUCCUAGCAAAACAGACAGUGUAAAAAAAAAAAAAAAAAUUAACUCUGUACUUUACUUGAACAUCAAAAAUCUGGUGUUCUUCCCCUCCUCUUUGUCAGGUGAGGCUAAGCGGGGAGCCUGGACUUUUUCCUUCAUCUGGUGAUAAUGAGGCAGCUCUCGAAUUUGCCUUGUGGGUUUUGUCAGAGAGGCCAAGUAGGAAUCCAGCACUUCCACUCCCUCUGGAGGCCAUGGGCCACACCUUCUCCAGAGCAAGGGAAGAUCUAGUGGGGACCUGGAGCAGUGAGGCGGCACCACUUCUGCUGUGACACUGCAUCAGGAGAGACUUGGCAAACAGAGUGUUGAGAAAGGCCCUGAGUUUAGUAAUAACAUAACUCUAGUGCCCAGAAUACAAUAUGAAAUCAAUUGUCCUACCAAGAACCAGGAAAAACUCAACUUGAAUAGUAAGAGCCAAUGAACAGGAAACAAUCAACAUGACAUAGAGGUUAGAAGUAUCUGACAAGGACUUUAAAGUAAUUGCUAUAAAAAUGCUCCAGUCAGCAACUAUGAAUACACUUGAAACAAAUGAAAAAUGGAAAGUAUCAGCAAAGAAUUAGGAAAUAUAAAAAAGAACUAAAAACUAUGAUAACUGAAAUUCAAUACUCAUUAGAUAUGUUUACCAUUGGAAUGGAGAGGAUGAAAGAAUCAGUGAGUUUGAGAACAGAACAUUGAACAUAAUCUGAUAUACAUAGCAGAGAGAAAAGGAAUUGAAAAAUAAUGAACAGAGCCUUAGGGACCUAUGCAGCUAAAAGAUAUUCUAAUAAUCAUAUCACUCAUAUCCAAGAAUGGCUGGAAGAAAUAUGCAGGGUUGCAAAAUAAUUCAAAAACUUAUGUUUGAAAAAUUUUCAAGUUUGGCACAGGACAAUUCUGCAAAAGCCAUAGAUCUAUAUAUAUAUAUAAAAAAAACCUGUAAAAGAAAAACAUUCAAGAAACUGAGCUAAACCCAAUCAGGAUAAGCCCAAGGAAAUCUAUACCAAGACACACAUAGGAGGCAACCUCAAUGAGAAGUUUGCUUUAAUGCUCCUAAGAUUUUGGGAGCACAUAUAUAACAUACUUCAGGGGCUUUAUAAGUGAGAAAUACUGUUUUACAGGCAAGUUUCUGAAUUGCUUUAUUAUUAUUAUCUCAAUCCUAUGAAAUGCUACAUAAUUUGUGUUGAACACAUGUACACAAAUGUAUUUUAGUGACUUCAAUAAAACAAAAAGUCAGACAAAAUAAAAAUUACAAAUUGUGUAAAAUUAUUAAACAACCCCUAGUAUGU